rnacentral:rRNA from 1 species
GAUGAACGCUGGCGGCGUGCCUAAUACAUGCAAGUCGAGCGAACAGACGAGGAGCUUGCUCCUCUGACGUUAGCGGCGGACGGGUGAGUAACACGUGGAUAACCUACCUAUAAGACUGGGAUAACUUCGGGAAACCGGAGCUAAUACCGGAUAAUAUAUUGAACCGCAUGGUUCAAUAGUGAAAGACGGUUUUGCUGUCACUUAUAGAUGGAUCCCCGCGGCAUUAGCUAGUUGGUAAGGUAACGGCUUACCAAGGCAACGAUGCGUAGCCGACCUGAGAGGGUGAUCGGCCACACUGGAACUGAGACACGGUCCAGACUCCUACGGGAGGCAGCAGUAGGGAAUCUUCCGCAAUGGGCGAAAGCCUGACGGAGCAACGCCGCGUGAGUGAUGAAGGUCUUCGGAUCGUAAAACUCUGUUAUUAGGGAAGAACAAAUGUGUAAGUAACUAUGCACGUCUUGACGGUACCUAAUCAGAAAGCCACGGCUAACUACGUG